ACCCUGCUUUAUGUCAUCUGAUUCACAAAUUUUUUGUUUUUCACUUUCACCUUUUUACUCUAAUAUUUCUAAUACAGUUCCGGUGAUGAAAAGAAAAGGAGUUCUGCUGUAAGAGUUUCCCUCAAAUUCAACGGUGAAAGUGCAAAGUCUGAUCAAAAUUCAACCAAAAAUCACACUAGAGAAAUCCAUUACACCAACAAAACAAGGAGGUGAGCUUUGAUUUCGUAAACCUGCAUUUUAUCAUUAAAUUUUCUGAUGAACCCUAGAUUUUUUUCACAAAACCGAGCGCAGCACAAGACAAUACAACUAUAGUCUUGGGGCUGGGUUUCUUGGUUUGUUUCUUGCGUUGAGGGUGCCGGUCAGCGUUGGCAUCGGCAGCAGCUUAGGUGUGCUGACGAUUGGGAACGACCAGUCUUGGCUGAGUUGUGGCUCAAUUUCUUGUGCUAUUGUCUGUGUUGAGAGUGGUGGUCGGCGGCGGCAUCGGCGCAGUUUUCUUAGCUGCUGAUUGUCGGGCCGAGCUGAGGAGAGUGGUCGACGAUAGGGAACAGCGGUGAUUGAUGGAGAGAACAAACCGUUCUGGUUAUUCACCGGAAAUUAAGAAGAAGAAGAAGAAGAAGAGGGAUUUGGGAUUUGAUAGUCGGGGAUGAUAUUCAUUCUCUGUUGCAAAUGUGAAGUGCAGAGACAGAUGAAGCUGUGAGACAGUGUAGAGAGAGAGAGAGAGUUGACAGGGUACACAAAGAGGGGAGACUAUGGGUGCAACCGAGAAUGAGAGAGCACCGUGGAACAGGGCAGUAUAUUGUGGGGAUUUUAACUAACUCUCUAUCUUUGAUUGAUAAUAAUAGUGUUUAACUUAAACUUAUUUUUUUAGACCAAACUUAAGCUUAUUUUGAUUAAUUAAUUGAAUAUAAUUGAUUUAAUUAUUGUUUGAUUUAUUACUUUUACAAUGUUUACUGAUUGAAGUAAUUUCCGGAGGUAUAUUGGAAGUACUAGACAAAAAUAUAAUCGGGUGUUUCCAAAAUAGGGAUGCUCGAUAUAAUUAUGUAUAGUCAAUAGGAUUUUAGUUUAUUUGUUCAUUCUUAAUUUUUAAUUAUAAAUAAGUAAGAUUUUAAUUAAACUUUGAUAUUCUUAAUUUUUCAUGUACUAAUCUUUGUACAAAAUGUAGUAGUAUUAAUAUGAUUUGUUUGGUGUCCUCAAGGAGGCACCAAGCGGUGCGAACUCCUAUCUAUGAACAGUGAGGUCUAAGGUUCAAACCCCGCCGCUUCCCCUCCCUGCAGUUAAAAUAAUAAAUAUGAUUUGUUUGAUUUUUUCACAUGUGUAAUUUAAAUAUUCAUGUGUUUCUUUUAUCUAAAUUAUUCUCAGAUACGUGCUCGUUCACUGACAUUCACUUCUUCAAGAGUUACAUCUCCACGGGCUUAGUGAGCAUUAUCUUGCACUUGAGUGGGCAGCGUGAUCUGGGUUGCCGUUACAUGAUGCGCUAGCACUUGUUGCGAAAUUUGGACUCCGAGGUAUUUUUCUCACAAUGACUUGUAAUCCAAAGUAAGUGGAGAUUCGAAGUGAAUCAUUUCCUGUUGAAAAGAGUCAUAAUAGAGAUGAUUAGUAAGCAAGACUUUUCAAGAGUAAAAAAUGAGUACUUGAAAAUAGUCAUAAUAGAGUUGAUUAGUAUGCAAGAGUUUUCAGAGUAAAAAAUGAGUACUUGAAAAAGGAAUUCCUAAAAGACUCGUUGUUUGGGGUGAUUGCUGCUUAUUUUUAUGUGGCGAAUUUACUUCUGCAUGUUCAUUACAGUGGUUGUUGAGCAAAAUAAAGGUGAGUAUAAUAAAGGUGAAUAUUCCACAUGAAACAACGAUGUUAAUAGUUGAAUGAAGUCAUCAACAAUAUAGGAUAGUAUGCAAAUAUAUUAUUUGUUGUCAUUAACUAAACGCCAACACUUGUAUGCGCUUUGUACAAUUCUAUCUAUGACUUUUGGUAGUACUUAACCAUGACAGUGACAUUUUAUUAAUGUUUUGAGGUUGUCUUUUGUAUGUACAUUGUAUAUGCCCAUGUAGGUUCUGAUUGAAUGCACUGUGUAUAUAUGAUGCAUAAUGUCUUAAAAAUAUUUAAGUAGUUUGUAUAUAAAAUGUACUCUGUAGAUUGCUACAAUGUUUACGAGUUUAUGACUUGUAGAAAUUCUCAUACACGUCAUAGUAUAAUAUGGUUGCACUUGGAAA